GAUAAACGCUGGCGGCGUGCCUAACACAUGCAAGUCGAACGAUCCCGCAAGGGAGAGUGGCGGAAGGGUGAGUAACACGUGGGAAUCUACCUCCUCGCAGGGAACAACCUCUCGAAAGAGAGGCUAAUACCCAAAAGGGUCAGAAAUGAUCAGAGUCGAAAGGCGUGAGGAGAGGAGCCCGCGGCCCAUCAGCUAGUUGGUGAGGUAAUGGCUUACCAAGGCUACGACGGGUAGGGGAUCUGAGAGGAUGUCCCCCACACUGGAACUGAAACACGGUCCAGACGCCUACGGGUGGCAGCAGUGAGGAAUAUUGGACAAUGGGCGAAAGCCCGAUCCAGCAACGCCGCGUGGAGGAUGAAGGCCUUCGGUCGGUAAACUUACUUUAGUAGGGAGACGAGAAGGAACGG
rnacentral:rRNA from 1 species